ACUCCUACGGGAGGCAGCAGUGGGGAAUAUUGCACAAUGGGGCGCAAGCCUGAUGCAGCCAUGCCGCGUGUAUGAAGAAGGCCUUCGGGUUGAUAAAGUACUUUCAGUCAGUGAAGGAAGGUGGGUAUGUUAAUAGCAUACUCAUUUGACGUUAGCUGCAGAAGAAGCACCGGCUAACUCCGUGCCAGCAGCCGCGGUAAUACGGAGGGUGC
rnacentral:rRNA from 1 species